rnacentral:rRNA from 1 species
GACGGAGGGGGCUAGCGUUGUUCGGAAUUACUGGGCGUAAAGAGUGCGUAGGCGGCUAAUUAAGUUGGGAGUGAAAUCCCAGGGCUCAACCCUGGAAUUGCUUUCAAAACUGGUUAGCUAGAGGACGAUAGAGGAUGGUGGAAUUCCUAGUGUAGAGGUGAAAUUCUUAGAUAUUAGGAGGAACAUCGGAGGCGAAGGCGACCAUCUGGGUCGUAUCUGACGCUGAUGCACGAAAGCGUGGGGAGCAAACAGG